AAUGGCCAAGUCGCAGGGUUGGUUUAAAUUUUCUGUUCUGCAUAUAUAUAUAUAUAUAUAUAUAUAUAUAUAGAACAGAAAAUUUAAACCAACCCUGCGACUU
rnacentral:miRNA from 1 species